UAGAAACAUGUUGAAGAAAAUCCCAACCUAACCAAAAAUCGUUUUUUAUUUUGGUUGACUGAUGUUUGUUACUUUUUUUUUGGCACGUUUAUUUUAAUUUAAUUUAAUUUACAUUAGGAAAAAAAUUUUAAAAAUUUGCGUUCAUAAUCCCCAACUUAAAUUACAAAUGUAUCCUGUUUUGAGACAUUUACUGCAUAAGGAGGAGAAUCGACGACGGAUCUCAAAUCUAAAAAUUGCAAAAAACUAAAUAAGGAGCUAGUUCUCAAUUUAUUUAACGAAUUGCUCCCACACAUGGGAAAUAGUAAUAGGAAUUCAAGAAUUCCAAAGCAAACAAGAAUUGAUUGCGCAACAACUGUGUAAUCGUUGGAUCUGUUUUAUCCAAACUGAACCAGGAAAUGCUCAAAUUCAAAGAGCUUUUAUGGGAAAAGUUGGAUCCCCGGGAAUUAUUGGCUGUAUAAUAGGACCGCAUGAAAAUGCGGUCUGAUGAUGAUGCUAUGUCGGCAGAAAGAAUUUCAUUACAAAAACAUGAUAAGUGGACGUGACAGAUUAAUAACUGAUGCAUUUAUAUGGCAUGCUUUGGUGAUUGGAAACUCAAUAUGCUGCAGGUGAUUCAGGAUAUGCAUUACAACCUAGGGUCAUGACUUGUGACAAACCUAAAGUACUGUGGAAAGAUGCAUAUGUGUUUUUAAAACUCAAUUUAGGUGCAUAAUGGGAGUCUCAAACUAUAUUAUACUCCUGAGAAAGUUGACAGAAUUAUUUAUGCAUCGCAUUAAUAGAUAUUUUAGACAAUAAAAUAAUCUGAACGCAAACGUUGUAGCAUUUUUAUUAUUAUUUUUUGGUUGCCCACAAAAAAAACAUCACAAGGAAACUAUUAAAAAAAAAACAAAUAUUAACACAGAAAAUGAAGCUAC